rfam:Triticum urartu cultivar G1812 contig1211179, whole genome shotgun sequence.
ACAGUACUCCCUCCGUUCCGAAUUACUUGUCUUGAAUUUGUCUAGAUACGAAUGUAUCUAGACUCAUUUUAAUGCUAGAUACAUCCGUAUUUAAACAAAUAUAAGACAAGUAAUUCGGAACGGAGAGAGUACGUU